CCCAUAACCAUAAAGGACUGGUUUAUUAUACAGCUGAACCCAUAACCACAAAGGUUUAUCCCAUACAUACAUAUCAAGGAGGACCACUGUAGAAGACAAAAUGUCAAAGUAGUGUCGUUCCGUGACAUCAAUAAACGUGAAGACUGUUAUUUUAUCAAAUCAAUUCUCUGUGUAAUUAUUAUUAUUACGUGAUUAAACUAAUCAUUUAAACUUUAAUUAACUAGGAAGUCGGGGGCACCACGGGAAAAUGUUUAAAGAGACUAUUUCCCAAAUCGACUCCCCAGAUAUUUUCAUAUCUUAUCAAAACAAUCGCUUAACGUACUGUACCUCAUCGGUUCUCAUUACUGAACGUCGCAAACCUCGGAGAUCUGCACAAACCCUCGCAUAAAUAAUGAAUCAGCGAUAUACAAAUUGGUUUAAUUAUUUAUUUACUAACUAACUAAUCCAAGUCACAGAAUAACAUGAAAACACAGUCACGAGAAUUGUCAAUCCCAAAAUGAUGAUAACUCAACUAUUUUAUAGCUUUGACCAAAUCCCCAAGGUUUGUAAGUCCCUGGUUUAAAAAUAAUUCGGCAAAGUCUCAGAUUCUGCAAAAGGUUCAUUCAUUAUUCGGAGAGCGCUCUGAAGUAAAAAAUGAGAACAUAGUCAUUUUAUAACACACACACUACUACACUCAUAGAUAACUACACUCAUAGAAAUGGCUAAUAUCUUACAUGAACUACGGCUCAAACUACGGCUAUUUACGAGUGUAUGCCUUGUAGUCUUUCUCUGUGGUCGCCGGUUACUCUUGCUGGAGAGUCAAUCGACAAAGACUUUGGUUGUGUUUAUAAUGGAUACGUUAGGCGUACCCAUGGUUGUCGCAUAGAAUACUGUUGGUGUUUUGGCGGUUGUCGGUAUUCUUGUCCUAGGCUUCGUACAGUUCUGGCUGCAGACUGGUAGUUCGAUGGCCUAGGACUUCUUACUUCUGUAGUGAAUCGAUUGUCUCAGAGUUUAACUUCUUGGUGACUGGGGGGCAGUAUUGAGUAGCUUGGAUGAAUAAGGUGCCCAGAGUAAACUGCCUGCUACUUAGCCAUAAAAGCUAGAAUAUGCAUAUAAUAUUAGUAUAUUUGGAUAGAAAACACUCUGAAGUUUCUACAACUGUUUGAAUGAUGUCUGUGAGUAUAACAGAACUCAUAUGGCAUGUGAAAACCUGAGAACAAAUCCAACCAGGAAGUGGGAAAUCUGAGGUUGGUCAUUUUUCAACUCAUUCCCUAUUGAAGAUAAAGUGGGAUAUUGAUCAUGUUGCACUUCCUAAGGCUUCCACUAGAUGUCAACAGUCUUUAGAAACCUGUUUGAGGCUUCUACUGUAAAGGAGGGGCUCAUAAGCGCUCUUUGAGUCAGUGGUCUGGCAGAGUGCCACAAGCUCGUGACGCUCGUUCACGUGAGAGGUAGCUCACGUUUCAUUGCAUUUCUACAGACAAAGGAAUUCUCUGGUUGGAACAUUAUUGAAGAUGUAUGUUAAAAACAUCCUAAAGAUUGAUUCUAUACAUCGUUUGACAUGUUUCUAUGGACUGUAACGGAACUUUUUGACAAUUCGUCUGCUCCUAGUGAACGCGCUUCGUGACUUUGGAUUUGUUUCCAAAACGCAAAAGUAGCUAUUUGGACAUAAAUGAUGGACAUUAUCGAACAAAUCAAACAUUUAUUGUGGAACUAGGAUUCCUGGGAGCGCAUUCUGAUGAAGAUCAUCAAAGGUAAGUGAAUAUUUAUAAUGUUAUUUCUGACUUCUGUUGAUUAUCCAAUAUGGCAGAUAUCUAUUUGGCUUGGUUGGUCUCUGAGCGCUGUAGGCACAUUAUUGCAUGGUUUGCUUUCUACUUAAAGUUUUUUUUAAAUCUGACACAGCGGUUGCAUUAAGGAGAAGUUUAUCUAAAGUUCCAUGUAUAAUAGUUGUAUCUUUCAUCAAUGUUUAUUAUGAGUAUUUCUGUAAAUUGACGUGGCUCUCUGUAAAAUCACUGCAUGUUUUGGAAAUACUGAACAUAACACGCCUAUGUAAAAUAAGAUUUUUGGAUAUAAAGAUGCACUUUAUCGAACAAAACAUACAUGUAUUGUGUAACAUGAAGUCCUAUGAGUGUCAUCUGAUGAAGAUCAUCAAAGGUUAGUGAUUAAUUUUAUCUAUAUUUCUGUUUUUUUGUGACACCUCUCUUUGGCUGGAAAAAUGGCUGUGUUUUUCUGUGACUUGGUGGUGACCUAACAAUCGUUUGUGGAGCUUUCGCCGUAAAGCAUUUUUGAAAUCAGACACUGUUGCCGGAUUAAUGAGAAUUGUAUCUUUAAAAUUGUGUAAAAUACUUGUAUGCUUGAGGAAUUUUAAUUAUGAGAUUUUUGUUGUUUUGAAUUUGGCGCCCCGCACUUUCACUGGCUGUUGGCAGGGUGGGACGCUACCGUCCCGAAUAUCCCAGAGAGGUUAACCAUUUCCAGCCGUGUAGCCAAUGCUCCAACCUCAGCUUACGUUUGCGUGGUCUGAUGUACAUUUCCGUCAGGAGUGGGUUUUAUAUACUUCUAAGAACUGAGGGUGGUCCAUGCGCCGCCAUAAUGUCUAUGCUCACGUGGCUGUGGCCCCUGAUUUGGUUAACUUGACAUGAAAAGCCAUAUUUUCUCAUAUAGAAGGUUGACAUCACAAUUACAUCUUUUCACAAAUAGUUUCAUGUUUAAUCACAUACGUUUCACAAUAUGUAGAUGGAACCCCCAUAAUUCAGAAGUGGAACACAACCAAAGACACAGUAAUGACUGUUUCCUGUCCUUCAUGAGAUCGCCAAAUAAAACACACUCGUCAUGACUGUCCCUUAAGUGUCCACGGACCACUCCCACAUUCUCAAAAAUAUAAAUAUUGUUGAAUUAUUUAAACUUUUGAUUGUACAAGGGUCUCUCCGUGUUCCACGGUUUACAUUCCAAUCUCGAACACUACAGGCCAUAGGGGGCACCGUAUUUGAUGACCGACCAUAAAACAGACGACUUCCCGCUCUCCCCCCUCUACGAGAGAGACCCACUGUAACCUGAUCCUUCAGAUCAUCACAGGAGAGUCAUGACAUUCCCCCUCUACGAGAGACCUACUGUAUCCUUCAGAUCAUCACAGGAGAGUCAUGACAUUCCCCCUCUACGAGAGAGACCCACUGUAACCUGAUCCUUCAGAUCAUCACAGGAGAGUCAUGACAUUCCCCCUCUACGAGAGACCUACUGUAACCUUCAGAUCACCACAGGAGAGUCAUGACAUUCCCCCUCUACGAGAGAGACCCACUGUAACCUUCAGAUCGUCACAGGAGAGUCAUGACAUUCCCCCUCUACGAGAGAGACCUACUACACACAGACAUCUCAACGCACACACACCCCACACUCAAGUCAACUGAGCAGGGGCCAGGAUCAGACAACUUCAAGAAGCACCAAUGGGGCACCGGCAAAUGGUCGGACAGGACCUGCCUCCAACCUUCACCAACCAGUCAGAAGACAGAACUACAAGAAUCAACCUACAUCAUUCUAUGUUUAAAUACCUUUGCACACUCUGUUUAGGCAUCCUUUUUCAGCUGACUCCUUCUGAGCCAAAUGAGAGGAUCCGUGCACGCUUUGUAUCAGAUAUCUUUACCUUUAAUAAACCUGCCUUGAAUCAUACCAUA